UUAGUUCAGCUAAUGCUAUCC
ensembl:piRNA 21ur-780 ncRNA